GAAUAUUGGACAAUGGGCGAAAGCCUGAUCCAGCAAUGCCGCGUGAGUGAUGAAGGCCUUCGGGUUGUAAAGCUCUUUUACCCGGGAUGAUAAUGACAGUACCGGGAGAAUAAGCCCCGGCUAACUUCGUGCCAGCAGCCGCGGUAAUACGAGGGGAGCUAGCGUUAUUCGGAAUUACUGGGCGUAAAGCGCACGUAGGCGGCUUUGUAAGUUAGAUGUGAAAGCCCAGAGCUCAACUCUGGAAUUGCCUUUAAGACUGCAUCGCUUGAAUCCAGGAGAGGUGAGUGGAAUUCCGAGUGUAGAGGUGAAAUUCGUAGAUAUUCGGAAGAACACCAGUGGCGAAGGCGGCUCACUGGACUGGUAUUGACGCUGAGGUGCGAAAGCGUGGGGAGCAAACAGG
rnacentral:rRNA from 1 species